rnacentral:snRNA from 1 species
GCUUCCGCGGCGAGAGCGGGU